rnacentral:rRNA from 1 species
CUUUGGUUCUAUUUUGUUGGUUUCUAGGACCGAAGUAAUGAUUAAUAGGGAUGGUUGGGGGCAUUCGUAUUUCAUUGUCAGAGGUGAAAUUCUUGGAUUUAUGAAAGACGAACAUCUGCGAAAGCGUCUGCCAAGGACGUUUUCAUUAAUCAAGAACGAAAGUUAGGGGAUCGAAGACGAUCAGAUACCGUCGUAGUCUUAACCAUAAACUAUGCCGACUCGGGAUUGGAGGAUGUCGCCAUGACGUCUCCAGCACCGUAUGAGAAAUCAAAGUGUUUGGGUUCCGGGGGGAGUAUGGUCGCAAGGCUGAAACUUAAAGGAAUUGACGGAAGGGCACCACCAGGAGUGGAGCCUGCGGCUUAAUUUGACUCAACACGGGGAAACUCACCA